CCACACCAUAUUUCUGGCCAAACGUGUUCAUGAUAAAAAUUAAUAUCAGAAUACCUAUAAAAGAUUUUUUUUUAAAUGCUGUAGGUUGAAAAUCUUUAUUAUGCUUAUUGUAUCGGAACGUGGUGCAGUCUCCCGAAGGAGCAAGUGCUAUUGUUCAAAUGAUCGGACAGCAGAGGAGCAGCAGCAAGAGAUCAAGAGAGAAGGCAGCUAUCUGAGGAAUGAGUUUCUCUGUCCUGCUUAACAGGUUUGUUGUGGGGACGGAGUCUCCCACAGAACAAUGAACGCUGUUAGCAGCUGACGUCUUGCUUUAGUGAUCCAUAAAAUGUGCAGAUAAGCUGUGGCCGCAGUGAAGCUGUAACUGAGAGAAAAGAAAGCCACAAUAAACUGCAAAGACAGUCUAACUACAACUGGAAGUGAUCAUCUUUCAUUUUGUUUAGUGUCACGGUUAUUGCCAGUGCAGAGGUGUGGUGACACCAGAGAGGACAGAGCUGAGACAAACUUCCUCCUGUUGUGUGCUUCAUGUGAGAUGAUGUCCGACCUCAUCCACCUGACAUCUGCCAUGGCUGACGUGAGAAACAGGGUUUCAGAGGAUGAGACUGUUCUUUGGGGGGGAAACACUGGGAAUCGCAGAGCUGCAGGACUCGUGCCAUCCCUCGCAUCAUCCAGACUUGUGACAACGUGUCCUCUCUGGGCCUCGGGGUGUUUUCAUGGGGCAGGUGGCCUCUGCAGCAGGGAUGUCACAGUCACUCUCAUACCCAUGGAUACUAAAGCAGCAGGGACAACCCACUCGAUAGCCACAUGCUGCACGAUGGCAUCCAGUCCUGCACAUUUUUCUCCUCCACUGCACUUUAAAAAAAAAUGUAUUUCAUGGCAGUUAUUUUAGCACUUUAGUAAGUCCACAGACAUAUGAAGACUCCUUAAAGUCAUCUGUGUAAGUGUAAAUAAAUGCUGAACAAAGAAAAAUCCCAAAUGUCAGCCCACCAUGUAUUUGUCACUGCUGCACAGGAGGCUGCAGGAGGUGUUGCUGAAGAAAGACCAAAUAUGGACCAAAAAAAGGAGUCAUUUUUGUGCCAUCGUGGUGGAGAAGUUCUGCUUUCAUUUUAUAAACAACUAUGGUUUGUAACUUCAUGUCUAGUUAGGAGACAGAAAUAAAGCAAUUCCACCUUAAACGCACUGUUUUACUACAGAUAAAUAAUCACUCUCUAAGCCUGAGCUCUGGUCUUCUUCUGCUCUAAGCAUAUUUUCACCAUGACAGACAACUGACUGCAAGCAAACAGACAAAAGAAAACUAGGGCAACAGCUCUCUUCAUGUCACGCCACAGCAUCGCGGUUGGGUCAGGGCCAUCGGGACGCAUGCAUUUUAUAGUAUUGUGUGAGCUAGCCUCUCCUAAGCUUUUUAAGUGUUUGGUGUGAUCUCCAUUUUAGAGUAGCAACAGUGCUGAAAUUCCUCGAAAGGUUUUUGUGGACUGAUAAAAAUCCAGGACAUAAGAAAUAUUUGUUCCAAAUGUUGUGAUUGAGGCACGGUUCCCAUUAAGCUUUCCUUCUUGUGACUUUCCCAGUAAAGACUGUAGGGUUAAUGACCCAGUCUCAUCUUAACUGGAACACAAAACAAGAAGUCAGACAAGCACAGAGGUUCACUCACUUUUCCCAGAUUUGUCCCAGUAAAUACUCACUUUCUUAGUUAAUCCAAAGGAGGCUUAUACUAAUGGAAAGGUGGAAGAAAAGAAAUAGAUGUUUUAAUUAAUGCAUGAUUACAA
ensembl:lncRNA